rnacentral:rRNA from 1 species
UACGUAGGGUGCAAGCGUUGUCCGGAAUUAUUGGGCGUAAAGAGCUCGUAGGCGGUUUGUUGCGUCGGCUGUGAAAUCCCGAGGCUCAACCUCGGGUCUGCAGUCGAUACGAGCAAACUAGAGUGUUGCAGGGGAGACUGGAAUUCCUGGUGUAGCGGUGAAAUGCGCAGAUAUCAGGAGGAACACCGGUGGCGAAGGCGGGUCUCUGGGCAACAAUUGACGCUGAGGAGCGAAAGCGUGGGGAGCGAACAGG